rnacentral:rRNA from 1 species
CAGUAGCCGCGGUAAUACGAAGGGGGCUAGCGUUGCUCGGAAUUACUGGGCGUAAAGGGAGCGUAGGCGGACAUUUAAGUCAGGGGUGAAAUCCCGGGGCUCAACCUCGGAAUUGCCUUUGAUACUGGGUGUCUUGAGUAUGAGAGAGGUAUGUGGAACUCCGAGUGUAGAGGUGAAAUUCGUAGAUAUUCGGAAGAACACCAGUGGCGAAGGCGACAUACUGGCUCAUUACUGACGCUGAGGCUCGAAAGCGUGGGGAGCAAACAGGAUUAGAUACCCCCGUAGUCCCUGUCUCUUAUAC